CUCACAACUCUCUCUCUCUCUCUCUUUCUCUCUCUUCUUCUCGCUCUUUCUCUUCGCCAUUUUUGCACUUGUACGUUUGCGAUUCACUUUAAAAGAUUUUCAAUACAACACACUUUGGUUUUUUUGGCUAGCUAUUAAUACGAGCCAUCGUUAAACCGGCCGUAAUUUUUAAUUGUUGUGGAAAAUUCCUAAGUGUUGAUUUGCUGGUGAUCGAUAUUUGAAACAUCAAUUAAAUGCAAAUUUUAAAAUAAAUUUCGAUUGGUGUUUAUCUUAAUAACAUACAGAGGUGAUUUAAGCUUUUCCAAGUGCGAUAUAGUAAAUGACAACGAAGUGACGGUAUCAUUGCCAAGGGCUCUUAUAUUUUCUAUUCUCCUCCAUUCUCAUUUAGUAUCACACCACCCUGCCUCUCUUAUCUGAGGUAGGAGGGUUGUUCCCCCUAUCCAGGGAUGGUUUACCACUAAACACCAGCUAGACCUGAUUGUGAGUAAACUGCACUAAGUAUAAAAGAUGGAUCGCAUUUCGUUGAUAUCUUAGUGAAAUCAGAGAAAGAAAUGCCAACUUCUGCAGUAAAUAAAUCAGAAUGACCCAUAAAAGAAUCCGUUGGGUCAUAGGUUACAUUACAGGAUAUUGAAGAGAUUGGUUGUUUUUUAAAAGGGUAACGUGUGCAUAGAUGAGCGGGCUAAGAUGGCGGACGUGACCGUCUAACGUAAUCGAGAAAAGGACUAGUUUAAACGUAUCUAACCACUUGGCAAAAGAGGAAGUGAAGAAUAAUGUCGGACAUUAUCGCAAUUAAGACCGUUUAGUUUAUAUUAGUGAACUCGGAGAGCAGGGGGGAUGUGUGAAAGCUCUGAUUUGGUAGCCGACAGUAGACAAAGAACAUCUGUAGCCUUGUUAAGUCAGCAGCCUGUACGCGCCGGGUGGGGUUGGGAAGUAAGCCUUGUUAUCUUACAACGAUGAGGACUAUUCCACUUAGCUGGACUAGGAUGUGACGUGUUAUCGCCAAGAUUGCAAUUGCUCGUUCAGUUAAAGCAAGGAUAUGACCAGAUAGAGUGAGGACAAACAGAAGCUAUGAUAUUAGUCACAGAGUAUUUUAUACUUGGAAUCAGUUUUCUUCCGUCUUCUGCCAAAAAAUUAAAGAAAAAUUGCGCAAAACGCGAUUCAAGAUUAAAAUGAGAACUCAUCUACGCAUUGUUUAUAAAAGGAUCGAAAUUAAAAAGCUGCACGACAGUGUCUUUGGCCGAUGCCAAAUGUACCCGAUGACACCAAGCCAUACCGGAUGUCACGUGAUCUCACGGUUCACGUGCCAACGGAGAGAUUUUGUACACAUUUCCACGUGGCCGUCGUCAAAUUGGUUGCACGGUUCAUAUAAAACCGAAGCCAUGUGAUCGUAGUGGAGCUAAGCGACGUGUCCACAACUCUAAACGAAUGGAACACCACCCACCCUAGCCCCAGGGGUAGAAAUCAAACGACCACACAUAAAACUUUUCUACCAAGAAGGGCAUACGAUAAGAGACGUUAUCGCCGAGUUGUGCCAAGAAUUCUUGAUUAUUCCCAUGCUUUUGUCUUUUUUUUUUCUUUUUUUGCACCCCAAAUCCUUAUUUAGCCAGUAGUCAAUCUAAAAUAUCCUCUCUUUGGAUAAGCCGAAAAUCCUAGGUAAAUGGCAUAGUUCAACUAUCUUGUAAGAAUUAGAAGUGUUUGGAUUUGGACCGAUUUCAGAAAGAUAGGAUUGUUCAACAGUUGUUCAAAAACAAUGUUAAUUAUUAGGAGCAAUGCAGGAAAGUUUGCGCACCUGUUGUCGAAGUAAGGGAGCAAAAAUUCCGACGCUCUAUUCGCCAUUACGAGCCAACGUUUAGCUAAUCUGUACGCGUUCUUGCCAUCAGCUUGGCGGGAGACAACAUCCGUUCAACUUUAUCGACUUGGAGAGAAAGAAGAAGAAAAAUAUUCCCACUAGCAUCCCCCAUCCGAGCGACGCACAGCUCUUCUGCAUGGAUUGGACAUGCGCUGCGCUGGUGGCCGUGCGAGACAAUAGAUGGCAGCUCAAGCCCGUGGAUCCAUAAAGGUGUCAGCAUGUUAUAACUGGUGGCAUACGGAGUUGGUAGGUGUAGCUAGCAAGGUCGCAGCCGUUUGUGUCGCGCGUUCAUCCGGCCAUGGAAAUACUAUCGCCAUGUGCACUAGGAGCUUGUCAAUGGUCAGAGGACACAUACCGACGGGGUUGCUGACAAUACAGGUGAGGUACAACUUCUAAUUGGUAGUAGCCUGCAUUAAUUUACGGAUUGGUACCGCUUCAUCGCUCUCCUAUCUAAUUACGCUGCCGGCCCAAGCGAGAUGGCGCUGCGUUCGUGUUCAUUUAGCCACGUCGAGCUGGGGGAUGCAAAAAUAAUUGCGACCAAUAAAAAGAGGCCCGCUUUGUAGAGAUGCGUACGUUGAUUGGCUGACGAACCAAUCUAGCGAAUUAAUUACAGGGAACCAUGUAGAAGAGCCAGUCGUUGCUAUGGGAGGGUUGUGUGUGGUGCAGCGCGCGCAAGCUAGAUCCGGCCUCCGAUUCGCGGGCUUGCCCAACUUCUGAGCCCCAAUCACAGGCCAAGUCAUGACAUACGGACUGCAUACCAGAACAGGUUUGAUCACUUUUCCUUUCUAGCGCUUAUAUAAUAUAGAGAGCGGCGGUGGUCGGUGCGGUUAGUUUUAACCACCUUCUUACGGUAUAAAUCCGAACGGGAGAGAAAUUCGCUUCCUACCAGUGUCGGUUUAUCUCUCUUUCCGAGCAAAAAAAACAACGUCCGGUUGUAUCCUUUCGGAUUUUUAUAACAGCUGAUCAAUAGUCCAGACACCUGUUUCUUAUCUCGACAGCAUGUUUUCAGAUUGGAUAAUUACUUACACCAUGUUGUACCACUUAGUGAGGGUUAACUCUGCACUAAUUAUAUACUACCUUUUACUGACAAGCUUACAGAUAAUCAAAGUCCGGUUCUGACACUCCCUUUGACAAUAUACAUAUUUUGUGGUUAUAAUUCUCCUCCAGAAAUCAUUGCCGAACCAUUCACGUCUGACAUUCUGAUCAGAUAAUGCCAGUUCCCUAAUGUUGCAUUUAAAAAGGGUGGAUGCUUUUUUUUGCUGCCAGAUAAGAUAAUCAUCGGAUAAAGAAGAAAAAAAUUGUCGAGUCCGUUAUAAAAUAAAUGUUGAUAAUAUUGUCAUCUCCAUCUGAAAAGAAAUCUCCAGUUAAAAGCAGAAUUUCCAUCAGUUAUUUUUACG
rnacentral:lncRNA from 1 species